ensembl:snRNA U6 U6 spliceosomal RNA
AUGCUUGCUUUGGAAGCACAUAUACUAAAAUCAGAAUGAUACAGUGAAGAUUAUCAUGGCCCCUGCACAAGAAUGACAUGCAAAUUUGGGAAGCGUCCCCUAUUUGU